UACGUAGGGGUCCGAGCGUUGUCCGGAAUUAUUGGGCGUAAAGGGCUCGUAGGCGGUUCGUCACGUCGGGAGUGAAAACUCGGGGCUUAACCCCGAGCCUGCUUCCGAUACGGGCAGACUAGAGGUAGGCAGGGGAGAGCGGAACUCCUGGUGUAGCGGUGGAAUGCGCAGAUAUCAGGAAGAACACCGGUGGCGAAGGCGGCUCUCUGGGCCUUACCUGACGCUGAGGAGCGACAGCAUGGGGAGCAAACAGG
rnacentral:rRNA from 1 species